GACGAACGUUGGCGGCGUGCUUAAUACAUGCAAGCCAACUGAAGCACCGGUAGUAAUACUGGUGUGGAGGUGGCGCACGGUGAGUAACACGUAGGUAAUCUGCCUUCAGGUCUGACAUAACCCCGAGAAAUCGGGGCUAAUAGCAGAUGAUGCAGCGGCUUGACAUCAAGACAGUUGUUAAAGCUUCGGCGCCUGAAGAUGAGCCUGCGUCUGAUUAGCUAGUUGGCGGAGUAAUAGCCCACCAAGGCGACGAUCAGUAGCUGGUCUGAGAGGAUGAUCAGCCACACUGGAACUGAGACACGGUCCAGACUCCUACGGGAGGCAGCAGUAAGGAAUAUUGCUCAAUGGGAGAAAUCCUGAAGCAGCAACGCCGCGUGAGGGAUGAAGGGCUUUUGCUCGUAAACCUCUGUAGUGAGGGAAAAAAUUUCCAUUCUAUGGAAUAUGAUGGUA
rnacentral:rRNA from 1 species